rnacentral:rRNA from 1 species
AAAGGUUGGGGAACCAAACCCGGAAUUAGAUACCCCCGGUGAGUCCCCCCCCGAAAAAGAAGAAUAAUUAGGGGUCGGGGAGCAAAGAAGGACCUGCUGCGGCAGCCAACCCCAUUAAGUAAUCCCCCCGGGGAGUACGUCCGCAUGGAUGAAACUCAAAGGAUUUGACGGGGACCCGCCAAACCGGUGGAGCAUGUGGUUUAAUUGGAAGCAACGCGAAGACCCUAAGCAGGCCUGGACAUCCCCCUGGACGGCCAGUAACGAGGCCGGCCCUUUCAGGGCAGGGGAGACAGGUGGUGCAUGGUUGUCGUCAGCUCGUGUCGUGAGAUGUUGGGUUAAGUCCCGCAACGAGCGCAACCCCUGCCCGCAGUAGCCAGCACAUGAAGAGUGGGCACUCUGCGGGGACUGCCGGGGACAACCCGGAGGAAGGCGGGGACGACGUCAAAUCAUCAUACCCCGUAUGAGCACGGAGACACAAGUGUUUCAACGCGCCACAGAGGGAGGCGAAGCGGUGAUGAGCAGUGAACCCCAAAAA